GCCAAUCGAGCAUCGAGAUUCAUGCGGCUGUUAAUGUACAUGAGCCAGAGUUCAUAAGAUUGCCCAUUGUGCUUGACCGCAAAAGAGAACAUGUCAUCCUUCCCCCCGGUUGUAGUAUAGCUAUAGAAUAUUAGAAGGUAAAUGGUCCAGAGAGCUAUAGAUUUUGGAUUGUUCUCUACAGCACGUGAUAGUACAGGAAGAGCCUUUUUCAUGCCCUCUCGACUGUUUGUUUCCUGGUUAAUAAUAAUUAGAGCUGUUUCCAGAGCUAGGUUCUCAUCACCCUGUUUCAG
rnacentral:misc_RNA from 1 species